GGGCACCGCGGGCCAGGGGCCGGGCGGUGCUUCCUGGGUGAACGUCUCCCCGCGCCGGCGCCGCCCCGCGCGGUAAGGGGUCAGGGGGUCUGUGCCGCGGCCCCCUCGGGGCUCUCGGCUCCCGCCCCUGCCCUGCCCUGCCCGCGGUCCCGGGAGGAGCUGGGGGGUUCCCUCUCGGCUCUUGCGGUCCUUCGCCUCGCUCCGUGUGUCGGAGAGAAAGUAACACCCUUGUGGUGGUUCAGCCCCAGCCGGUAACUCGUGGGCGCACAGCCCUCCCCAGCAGCCGAGUAGGGGAGAGAAUCGAGAGGGUAAAAGUGACAAUUAUGGCUUUUAAGAUGUCUUGAGAAUUUUGAAGAAGUAACUUUCAGUUUCUCUGGUUAAGUGCGUCUCUUCCCUUUUCCUAGUUCCUGGUGAGAACGUUCACUUUUCUCGUAAGGAAACGUGAGGUUCCACAUGACAGGCUUUUCUGGGAGGGAGUUACUUAAUUUAUGGGAUUGCACAUUAAACGUUACUUAGAAAUUCAGGAGCUUGGGUAUGCGGUGUAACAAGUUUGGGGUUUUGUUAAGCAACGUGCAACUUUAAACUCAACAAGUGAUUAUUUUUAAAGUAUGUGCCCUUUAGAAAAAAAUAUAUGAGGUUGCACCUUUGAUAGGUAUUCAGUCACCGGGUUUCACUCUGCGUACGUCUCCUGUAUGGUGGAAAAGAGGAACCACGGAGAAAAUAGUUUAUAGUUGUAUCAAAGUGCACAAAUGCAGGUAUUUCUAAAUUUGGUAUUAGUUGAGGAUAAUACUCCUUAAAUUUAGUUUUGAGGGAGAAGAUGAUGUAGGUGUAAAAUACAAAUGCUAAACGUUUUCCUUGAAAAACUUAACUUCAAGUCAAGGGUGCGUGCUGUGAGGGGAAGUGUGUUUUUCUAUAAAUCAAGGCUUUUUCCCUAGUUAGAACUUGUUUCACAGGUGGCUGUAAAUACAGUUUUAGGUUUUUUGUAAGUGUGUAUCUGAAAUGAACAAAAAUUUCUCAUAAAUGAAGCAGAGAUUUAAUUUUGCAGCCCUUGGGCCUUUUUGAAAAACUGAAACCUGAUGAUUUUUGAGUGGGAAAACAUUCAGUGUUUCUUUAAGUACAUGAACUAAUCAAGAACUUUAUUUUUGGCAGAUACAGCUAAAAACUGAAGCUAUAACAUACCCAUGAGUGAGCAGCACUAGUUGUGUAUAUCAAUGGCCUCUGUGCCAGUAAUUCCAGACUCUUACAAUCAUGUGUUGGCAGAGUUGGAAUGUUUGGAUCCAUUGCUUUCUGCACUCAGACUGGAUUCCAGUCGUCUGAAGUGCACGUGUAUAGAUGUGUCGAAGAGAUGGCUGGCUCUGGGUACUUCAGGAGGAGGGCUGAACCUUAUCCAGAAAGAUGGUUGGAAGCAAAGACUCUUUCUCACUCAUAAGGAAGGUGCCAUUUCCCGGGUGGCCUGUUGUUUGCAUGAUGAAGACUAUGUUGCUGUUGCCACCAGCCAAGGCCUUGUAGUAGUCUGGGAGCUGAAUCAGGAACGUCGUGGGAAGCCAGAACGGAUUUAUGUUUCCUCUGAGCAUAAGGGCAGAAAAGUCACAGCUCUCUGUUGGGAUACUGCUGCCCUUCGAGUUUUUGUAGGAGAUCAUGUGGGAAAAGUAUCAGCCAUCAAGAUUAACACAUCCAAGCAAGGGAAGGCUGCUGCUACUUUUGUCAUGUUUCCUGUUCAGAUUAUAACAACUGUAGAUUCUCGGGUUGUUCAGCUUGAUUACUUGGAUGGAAGGCUGCUCAUAUCUUCACUUACUCGCACUUAUUUGUGUGAUACUGAGAGGCAAAAGUUUUGGAAAAUUGGUAAUAAAGAGAGAGAUGGAGAAUUUGGAGCAUGUUUCUUCCCUGUUGGAAAAAACAGUGGGAAUCAGCAGCCAUUAAUAUACUGUGCUCGACCUGGCUCAAGGAUGUGGGAGGUGAACUUUGAUGGAGAAGUGCAAAGCACACAUCAGUUCAAGCAGCUGCUCUCAUCACCACCUCUUCCUGUUGUUACUCUCAGGCAGGAUCCUCAUUACACUGGUUCCAGCUGCUCUCCACAAUCUUUAUCUUUCCCCAAGCUACUGUAUUUGACUGAGCACUGUGUGGUGACCUGGACAGAAAGAGGCAUUUAUAUUUUUCUUCCCCAAAGCGUUCAAGUCUUACUCUGGAGUGAAGUGAAAGAUAUUCAGGAUAUUGCAGUUUACAAGAGCGAGUUGUUCUGUCUGCAUACAAAUGGAAAAGUUGUGCACCUGUCCCUUCUGCUGGUCGACCGCUGCGUGGAGCGUCUGAUGAGAAGAGGGUUCUGGACCCUUGCUGCCAGGGUCUCUUGUCUCUUCCAAAAUUCAAUUAUUUCUUGCAGAGCAAGAAAAAAUUUGCCUCUAGACAAGCUAGAGCACUUGAAGUCUCAACUGGAUGCCUCAACCCAACAAGAUCUCACUAUGCAAAUGGAAGAACUGAUUUCCAAGUUGGAACCUCUAGAUUCUGCGUGCAGCAGUAGAAGGAGCAGUAUCUCAUCUCAUGAAAGCUUCAGUGUUUUGGACUCUGGAAUAUACCGUGUUAUCAGUCGGAGAGGCAGUCAGUCAGAUGAAGAUUCGUGUUCUCUCCACAGUCAAACGUUCUCAGAAGAUGAGAGACUUAAAGAAUUUCCUGCACACCAGGAAGAUGAGCAAGUAGACCUUGACAGCGUAUCUCAUGCAUCAGUGGUGGUUGAGGCUGACCGGAAUGAGACAUUUCUCCCAUUCAAUAUUCCUUUGUCAUUUCGUUCCCCAUCUCCUCUCGUCCAAGCUGUCAAAGAAAGUGUUUCCAGCUUUGUACGCAAAACUACAGAGAAGAUUGGCACACUUCAUAUAAGUCCUGAUACCAGAGGGAGGCAAGAAGCCAAGGAUGAUGAGCAGCUGCCAGAGCUGACUGCUAGUCUGGUAGUGUCUCCCCAGGAAGAGAAAGAGUUAGAACCACAGAGCUGCCAGCUUCCUGAGGAGGACCGUCUCCGAGAUCUCAAGGCUGCAACAGCAGAAGCUUUAGCCAAACUCCAGGAUCCCCAGGUUUUAUUAGAACCUCAGUGUAUGAGAAGGGUUUUACAGGAAUGGCUUGUCUAUCUGGAAGAAAAAUUCAGCAGCAAAGACCAUUCUGCUUUGUCUUCCAAGAAAAGCAAGGCUGUGUGUGCUGAAGAACAGAGGGCAGCCGUGGAGGAAAACCUGCGACUGCCUCCAGCUGAUGGAGACCCAGUGGACAAGGAACAAAGUAAUAUUUUGGAAGACUGCACUGAAAAGGAAAACACUGAUGAAACUUGUGUAAGCCAAACCAUGUGUGAAAAUGGUACUGAUUCGAGAGGACUUUUGGACGGCGGCUUUCAAGUGUCUCCCCCGUGUGUCCUAGAAACGGGUGUUCGGAAAGAUCUUGUGGACUUGACAACGCUGUGUUUUGAGCUGCGUGUCUUUCCUCGUGGAAGUGGUGAUGCUGAGGAGGGCUCUGAUGGAAGUCUGCCUCAGGCAGCUUCAUGGACCUUGGCUUGUAGGUUUAUGCAAAGAUACUUCUUUCUUUUGGAUUUAAAAAGAGUCAAGCAGUGUAUUAUAACCACAUAUGCAGCCAGUCCUAAUGUAUGGGAAACGUACAUCGCAGGAUUGAAAGAACUAACUUGUCACAGUCCGGUGGCUUUAGCAAUGGAGGGUGAAGAUAUGUUGAAAAUACUGAAGCUGCUGCAUGACCUGGGGCCGUGGGAUGACAGCCCGCUGUUACUAGUACAUGCUCAAAGGCUUUAUGAAAAAUUUGGGGAAACAGCUCUUCGGCCCUUGAUCAAAUUCUACCCCUUUAUUUUGCCUUCUGAUAUUAAACAGCUUUGCAGGAAUGAUCCAGCUCACUUCUUAGCAUAUUUAGACAGUCUGGUGAAAUCAAAACCAGAGGAUAAAAGGCCAUCUCUCCUUCGAUCUCUUCUGCAGCCCGAAUCUCUACGGUUGGAUUGGCUGUGCUUGGCAGUUUCUCAUGAUGCUCCACAAAGAGCAAAUACUGUGGAUGCAGAAGGAAAUCCCAGGCCACGAUCACAUUUGUUUACCUGGGGCUACAGCCAGCUCAUUCUGCUUUUGAUUAAACUCCCAGCUGAUUUUGCUACAAAAGAGAAGAUGGCUCACAUCUGUAAAUCACAUGGGUUGCAUUCCGGAGACCAUAGAAGAGUGGAAGUUUCUUCUGCAUCUUGCACAAAACCACAGCGCAGCCUUGCACCACCACGGCCAACAGAACGGGAAUGCCGUCAGCAAUGGUGGCCCGAGCUGCCCAGACUGCAUCACUGUGGAAAAUGUGGCUCUGUUGCUGGCCAGGGCCAUCGGCCCCAGUCGUGCCUUGCCUCUCUUGCAGGAGUGUGGCUUGACAGCAGAAUUGUCUGAGAGAUUUACUGGUGUCUGUGAGAUACUGAGAAUUGCUGAGAAGAGGCAGAGAGCGCUGAUUCAGUCAAUGUUGGAAAGGUGUGACCGGUUUUUGUGGUCUCAGCAAGCAUAGAAAACAACUUUGGAAAACUCUGGGAACAUUUUUUAAUGUAAUGAUUGUAAAUUAAAGUGCCUCUUAAACUUCACAGGCCCUUAAAGAAAUGAACUUCUGUCUAAAAGUUCAGUUAUACUGAGCCAGUCUCCAUCUGGCAGGUAUCUGAACAGGAACUGGUGACAAUUCUUCCUUAUUCCUUUGGAGAUGAGUUUUGAACUCUAGAACUUAAGUUAAAACAAUCCAGUAUUUAUCUUGAAAUUAGGCUCACAGAUUUCCAAGAUGAAAAUUCCUGAAUUUAUUUUCUGAGUCUGUGACUUAAGUGUUUAGGGAUAUGAGCCCCUAAGUAUUAAAUUAUGGUAUAUAAAAUUUUUUUGUUUCUUUGUUUGCAAACAUGAGAAACCAUUCCUGGGGAAUAUCUAAGCCCAUACUUGUUUAACUUUCCUGUAAAUUGCAUUGACCUUUACUGUUGUUGUAGAAGUGUUUGUUAUGGUACCCUUUGUUUCCCCCCCCCCUUAAAUUAUACAGACAGGUCUAUUUGAAAUACAAUAAUUGAGCCAAGUCUUAAAAUGGGAGGGAAAUACUUUUCAGUAGUGGAUUAAUGGUUAAAAAUACUGUUGAACAGAAAAACUGUUAAACUACAAGCAUGAUAUUUCUAUAUUGCCCAUAUCUGUUUGUGCAAUAUGACUGUAGACAUCAGUUGUGAUAUUCCAACAAACCUCAGGCCAGUGGAAUCAGAAUCAGAGUCAUUUAAGUUGGAAAACAUCCUAAAGAUCCAAUGUUAGCCUAACACUGCCAAGUCCACCACUAAACCAUGUCUGUUAAGUGCCACAUAUAAACAACUUUAAAAUGCCUCAGUACGGAUGGUGAUUCAACCUGGCAGUCUGUUCUAGUACCUGACAACCCUUUUGGUGAAGAAAUUUUCCUAAUAUCCAAAUAAAAUGUCUCCUGGUGCAAUUUGAGGCCAUUUCCUCUUGUCCUAUCACUUUUGACUUGGGAAAAAGGAACUUACCCCCACCUGGCUCCAGCCUCAUUUCAGGUAGUCGUAGAGAGUGAUGAGGUCUUCUCUGAGCCUCCUUUUCUCCAGGCUAAAGAACUCCACCUCCCUCAGCUGCUCCUCAUAGGACUUGUGCUCCAAAUGCUUCAUCAGCUCUGUUGCCCUUCUCUGGCCUCGCUCCAGCACCUCAGUUUCUUGUAGUGAGGGGCCCAGAACUGGACACUCCCUCGUCCCGCCUUAGACACGCUUCUUGUCUUUCUCUUCCUCAUCUUGUUCCUUGGUAGCAUUCCUUCUGGAAACGUUCCAAGGCUUAUGAACAGCUUUGACUCAUUUAUAUCAAGCAAUGUGCCUGUUAUGGCUGUUUUCUGAGUACAUUUUCUACAGAUAAAAUGUUCUUUACCUUGCUACAAUCUUUGUCCAUUGGAACUCUUGGCAAGAAAUAUUAAACAACAUUUUUAGAAAGCCUUGUACAAAGGUACUAACAGGCCAAAGGCACCAUCAAACCAUGUCAAAAGUGCUAAAAAGCUAUGCUGAAAUCCAUAUAAUAUGUAUCUUAAGACAUCAAUGCCCAUUGGCCUUCUUGGCCCUCAGGGCACAGUGCUGGCUCGUGUUCAGCCAGCUGUCGACCAGCAGCCCCAGGUCCUUUGCUGCUGGGGAGCUUUCCAGCUGCUCUGCCCCCAGCCUGUAGUGCCAUGUGGGGUUGUUGUGACCCAAGAGCAGGACCCAGCACUUGGCCUUGUUGAACCUCAUCCAGCUGGCCUCAAACCAUCGAUCCAGCCUAUCCAGAUCCCUCUGCAGAGCCUUCCUGCCCUCCAGCUGAUCAAUACUCCCACCCAACUUGUCUGCAAACUGAGGGUACCCUCCAUCCCCUUAGCCAGGUCAUUGAUAAAGACAUUAAACAGGACUGACUCCAGUACUGAGCCCUGGGGAACACCACUUGGGACUGGCCACCAGCUGGAUUUAACGCCAUUUAACUCCAUUUCCUUCCCUUCUCUGGGCCCAACCAUCCAGCCAGUUUUUUGUCCACUGAGCAGUGCACCUGUCCAAAUCAUGAGCAGACAAUUUUUCCAGGAGAACGCUGUGGGAAACUGCGUCAAAAGGUUUUACUGAAGUCCAGGUCAACUUUGGUAAUUCAACAGUUAAUUCUGACAUUUUGGAAAGUGAGAGGACCACAUGUCUUCUUUUAAUAUUUUUAAAAGCUGAAGGUUUAGAUGGGUAUUUUUAGAUGGAUGCUGUCAAGAAAGAUGUCUUUUACAUACCUGGUAGAAUAUGAAGAAUAAUAAAAUUACUCGGAUUUUAUAUCUCACAGAACUGUGCCUUGUACCAGCACUCUGCAUUUAAUGCACCUUUGAUUAAGUUUCUUUUUAGGCUUCUGGUUUUGACUCUCAUCACUGCCAGACUCAUAUUUUUAGCAGAGGGCAAACAGUAUCUGGUCAGUAUUUGAUUUUCACACAUGUCAUUUAAGGAAAAAGUUAAUGCAUUCUUUGGAACUAAAUUUUAUUAACAUUGAUAAUGUUGUUAUGAAAUUACUUGAAAAUAUUUCUUUAUAAAGCACCUUUAUAAUGCUUUUCAUCAAAAUAGGAGUUAAUAAUACAGCUUUCAGCUUUUUGAGAGAUCCAGUCUGAUUAUUUCAUCUUGAUGUCAAUAAAGAUUUCAGUGUGGAGGGUAGGUUAUUUCACUAGACAAAGUGAAGUUACAGGGAGCCAAUUAGUGUCAGGCUUUCAUCCAUUAAUAGUGCUGCUUGUGGAAAAGCCAAUUCAGAACUAUUUCUCAGAAAGAAAACUUUAAGUCUUUUGGGGUUUAGAUUGUGACACUGGAAAUAGAAGGAUCUGUGCCAUCAGAAACAUCCCAUGCCCUUACAGUAAGACUUAGAAUGGAUGCCAGGCACCUGCCAGAUGUUGUUGGUGACUGUUCUCUUCCCUGCCAGGUGAGGUGCUGCUAUCUCAGUGCCUGUCCUGUUUACUUAACACAGUUCAUGCAGCUGUAGCUGAGUGCUCCUACUGCCUUCCUUACAGGAAUUCCUGGCUUUCUGAGAAUGUACCUGGCUUAUCUCCAUAUGUAAUGGUUCCAUUUGCUCCUUGUAUUUUGUGUACACAUCAGUCUUUUGCUUACUUCUGUGGGGGUUUUAUAUACUUGGUUAAAACUUUGAGUGUGGGUUGGGGUUUUUUGGUUUUUUUACAAUAAACCAAUACUUUUCUGGUUAGAGCCAAUUUUUGUGUCAGAGUGGUCAUACAGGUAACAGAAUGGGAAGAGUUUCUUCAAAUUUCAUGUCUAAAGUGAGCUUGUGUUGAUGAUUUCCACUAACUUGGCUGUCAAUAAAGAGUUUACUCUCCAAAGAAGAGUUGGAGAAUCACUUUUUCCUAUUCUGGAUGAGCUUGUUUUCAUCUCAUAUGGGUAAGGUGAAGGGACUGUGAAAUUAAAUGGUCUUCUGUUCAGAAGUUGCAGCUGCACAGAGCAAAGGCCUUCCUCCUAAAGCUGUGGCCCCUAAACCAGCUUCUGUCAGCCAGCUGAGCACACACCACUGAUGGCUCGAGCCGGUCUGUGCUGGGGCAGAUGAGCUGUAGCUCAUCCUUGGCUUUUGUGGGUGACUGAUGGUGGAAGAAGGCCUUAAAAAGCAGAGAUGAAUAAAGGGGGCUUUGCCUGGAGCAGCUUUAAAUAGAAACUGUGGUGGUGGUGGUUUCCUUUUUUUGAAAGAGAAAAGCAUCGUACCCUCCUCAAACAUUAUUUCACUAUUAGAAUCAUCAUCAAAACGUCUGGGCCAAAUAAAUUUUAUUUCAGAUAAA